AAAGCCCCUCCCGAAGAAGGGGCCUUACAGAAGGAAAGGGUUAUGAUGAAGCUCGUCAUCAUACUGAUUGUGUUGUUACUCGUAAGUUUCGCAGCUUAUUAACAGCCAAUCAGAGGGGGGAGAAAUCCUCCCUCACCCUUGU
rnacentral:antisense_RNA from 1 species